CAGGCUUAACACAUGCAAGUCGAGGGGCAGCAUGGUCUUAGCUUGCUAAGGCCGAUGGCGACCGGCGCACGGGUGAGUAACACGUAUCCAACCUGCCGUCUACUCUUGGACAGCCUUCUGAAAGGAAGAUUAAUACAAGAUGGCAUCAUGAGUCCGCAUGUUCACAUGAUUAAAGGUAUUCCGGUAGACGAUGGGGAUGCGUUCCAUUAGAUAGUAGGCGGGGUAACGGCCCACCUAGUCUUCGAUGGAUAGGGGUUCUGAGAGGAAGGUCCCCCACAUUGGAACUGAGACACGGUCCAAACUCCUACGGGAGGCAGCAGUGAGGAAUAUUGGUCAAUGGGCGAGAGCCUGAACCAGCCAAGUAGCGUGAAGGAUGACUGCCCUAUGGGUUGUAAACUUCUUUUAUAAAGGAAUAAAGUCGGGUAUGGAUACCCGUUUGCAUGUACUUUAUGAAUAAGGAUCGGCUAACUCCGUGCCAGCAGCCGCGGUAAUACGGAGGAUCCGAGCGUUAUCCGGAUUUAUUGGGUUUAAAGGGAGCGUAGAUGGAUGUUUAAGUCAGUUGUGAAAGUCUGCGGCUCAACCGUAAAAUUGCAGUUGAUACUGGAUAUCUUGAGUGCAGUUGAGGCAGGCGGAAUUCGUGGUGUAGCGGUGAAAUGCUUAGAUAUCACGAAGAACUCCGAUUGCGAAGGCAGCCUGCUAAGCUGCAACUGACAUUGAGGCUCGAAAGUGUGGGUAUCAAACAGGAUUAGAUACCCUGGUAGUCCACACGGUAAACGAUGAAUACUCGCUGUUUGCGAUAUACAGCAAGCGGCCAAGCGAAAGCGUUAAGUAUUCCACCUGGGGAGUACGCCGGCAACGGUGAAACUCAAAGGAAUUGACGGGGGCCCGCACAGGCGGAGGAACAUGUGGUUUAAUUCGAUGAUACGCGAGGAACCUUACCCGGGCUUAAAUUGCAGAUGAAUUACGGUGAAAGCCGUAAGCCGCAAGGCAUCUGUGAAGGUGCUGCAUGGUUGUCGUCAGCUCGUGCCGUGAGGUGUCGGCUUAAGUGCCAUAACGAGCGCAACCCUUGUUGUCAGUUACUAACAGGUUCCGCUGAGGACUCUGACAAGACUGCCAUCGUAAGAUGUGAGGAAGGUGGGGAUGACGUCAAAUCAGCACGGCCCUUACGUCCGGGGCUACACACGUGUUGCAAUGGGGGGUACAGAGGGCCGCUACCACGCGAGUGGAUGCCAAUCCCCAAAACCUCUCUCAGUUCGGACUGGAGUCUGCAACCCGACUCCACGAAACUGGAUUCGCUAGUAAUCGCGCAUCAGCCACGGCGCGGUGAAUACGUUCCCGGGCCUUGUACACACCGCCCGUCAAGCCAUGGGAGCCGGGGGUACCUGAAGUGCGUAACCGCGAGGAGCGCCCUAGGGUAAAACUGGUGACUGGGGC
rnacentral:rRNA from 1 species